AUGGACGCCACAGCGGUUGUUGGGUGCUUCCGGGACAGGACCAUACUCGUCACUGGCUCAACUGGUUUCCUCGGGAAAUUGUUGGUGGAGAAGAUAUUGAGGGUUCAGCCGAACGUGAAGAAGCUCUACCUGGUGGUGCGCGCGUCGGAUGCCGCCUCUGCGGAGCAGCGUAUCCUGUCCCAGGUAAAGUAUAAACGUCCCAUAGCUUUUUAUUUCCACAGCUUCACAUGUCGUGCUACGAAUAGGUCUAAACUUAAUAGGAGGCACUAG
rnacentral:rRNA from 1 species